AACAGAUUGGAAAAAAGCACAUAUCGUGUUUGGUAAACGGAGUAGUGGUUCCUGAAAAAUGAUUUCUUCUGGAAUCCUCUCUGUUUGCUUGACACGUGGUAUUCUUCCUGACGUGAAUGUGU
rnacentral:precursor_RNA from 14 species